rnacentral:rRNA from 1 species
UGAGCAAUCUGCCCUUCUCUUCGGAAUAAGCGUUGGAAACGACGUCUAAUGCCCAAUACGACCUCCUUUCGCAUGAUCGGAGGUGGAAAGCUCCGGUGGAGAAGGAUGAGCUCGCGGCCUAUCAGCUAGUUGGUGUGGGUAAUGGCCCACCAAGGCGACGGACGGGUAGCCGGCCUGAGAGGAUGAUCACGCCCACACGUGGGACUGACGACACCGGCCCACCGACCCCGUAGGGACGGACG